rnacentral:lncRNA from 1 species
AGAGACUUUUGUGGACCUCUUAUCCUGUUGAGUAGUUAUGUUGAAUGCAUUCCACUUUCGAACUAUGGAUAGCAACUAUGUAUUCUGUAAUCUGUUCAAAAUAAACAAAUUUAGUCUGUAACUUAAUAUCCAAAUAGGCCCUUAAGAUAAUCAAGUUAGGCCAAAUCGUCAAAGUAGUCCACUUACACUUUGUUAUUUGAUGACUAAUAAGUAAGCAAAAGAGUCAUAUAUCUCAAAUGUUAUGCUUAACAGCAGUUAGGGAUUUGAUUUUGAGCUAUCAAUAUUGACACACAAAUACUAAAAAUGUGCAUGAAGAAAUAGUGUGGUGGCACUUUUUCUACCCAGACCCACCAAUGGACUGAACCAAUCCAAAAUAAUGGUUCUGGUUGAGGGCAUUUUACAAUUUGAGUUGGUAUGAGCUAGUCAAGACCAUCCCAAUUAUAAAUGGGUCAGGUAUGGGUUUGGUCCUUCGAACUGAUGGGUCACCAUGGGUUCAAAAGAUCCUUAAAAUCCAUCCCCAAACUUGUAGAAUGGUAGUAAUUAUGUAAUAUACUGUCACAAUCAAGGAUUGGUUUGAAUGAUUAGGAAGGCUGCAUAAAUAAUGGUUAAGAGAAUAAAAAAAUAUAUCGAAAAGAGAAGUGGAGGGAAUGGAGUGUUUAGGUACUGUAAUGUUUUCUUCUCCACUUUAAUUCCUUCACAAUGUUUUCUCACUUUGUUUGGAUGCCCACCCUAGAUCCCUUUUCGGCUGUUUUUUGUUGUCAAUUACUAAGGUAUAUAAUUGACAAGCAAAAGCACUAAUUGGAUUGGUGGUUUGGGUAUAGGUUAAUAUAAAAUCAAAUGUGUUGGCUAUGGGUUUAUAUUUUUCAACCUAAUUAUAAAUGGGUCAUGUAUAUGGCGAGGAUUUUUUGGCCCAACCCUAAUUUAACUCCAUAGGGGUCCCAUCUUGAUCCAUUGCCACCCAUAUUAGAGAUAGAUGGCCAAUCCUAGUAGCAUGAAUCAAGAAGCUGCAUUAUCAUCAAAACAUCACAACACCACAUGAUGCUAACAUUGGCCAUAAGGCCAAGUCAAACACUAGAGCUAAGGAGGCAUAACUAGAAUACAAAAGAUGUCGUGAAGGGAUAAGUAACAGCAAUACAAU